GAGCUUCUGAGCGAUGAAGUGGAUCUCACCUACAUGACAGGCCGGCGGCUGGGGCUUCGGGGGUCCUGGCUCCCCCAACUUUCAAAUUCGCCGACUUGCCAAGCCCGUGUGUUCUCAUCUGUGCAUCAGGGGGUGUUUCGGGCAGGGGGAGGACCCAAGGCAGGAGGGGCUGCAAGAAGCACUUGGGGGGCUGGGAAGGACCCCGCCAACACCUGAGCCUCCCCCUACCCCAGGGCCUGACCUGUGGCCUGGGCCUCUCUGCUGCCACCUCCAGGGUCCUGCCCACAGUUUCCCCUCGUGUCCACUGUCCUCAGCUCCACGGGCCUGCACUGCCUCUUGCAGGGCCUGCAAGGCAGCCAGGGCCCCAGGAAGGAGGGAACGGCCGUGGCCAAAGCCCCCGAUCUGCUCACAACACCGAGCCUUUGGUGUCAAAGGGGAACAUCUGCUUCUGCGGUCGGCUGUGCUACUCUUGCUCGUGUGGCUACUCCAGUCCUCUGCAGGGCUCCCACUUGCAGGGCCGCUGGUGCGGCUGCGGCCCCUGUCCGCCGCAUUACCCCCGUCAGUGUGGCUGCUGUGGCUACGGCCCCUUCCGCGGGCAGAAAGGGUGGCCCCUUCGCUGGCACAGCUGCUCCCGUGGCAGGCAGGCUGCCCCCUGCCCAACUCGUACGGCUACUGUGCAGCCUGUACCCCCAUCCACGUGUAGGGCCACAACUUUCUGUGUUCCUGGCACUUCUUGAGGCACCCACCAGACACCCCCAGACAGUAGCUACUACUCCUGCCGGCGGGGCCACCCAGCCUCACUCCCACCCCCAUCACUCAGGGUGUCCGGCUCCCCUCAGACCCUGGAGACCCAAAGCUGUGUGCUCACCUCUUCCCUGCAACUUCUCUCUGGCCCCAAGCCUACCCUGUGAUGAGAAGACUAAGGGCAGAGGACCGAGUUGCUCAGGUGGAGAUGAAUUGAGGUUCUGGAAGAAUCGGGGGCACCCUCUUGAAGAAGAUGGUGGCUGUGGCAAGGUUUGAAGAUGGGCACCCUCCCCGCAGAGCGUUUCAACCCCUGGCCUCCCCGGGUCUGGUGACAGGACCAAGGGGCCGCUCCGGGCGCUUCCAAGGCCUUCCAGGAGUCCCAGCGAGGGAAGGCCCCAUCAGGCCAGGUUCUCAGACCACAGAGCCUCGAGCGAGCGUCAAGCAACUAAAAGGCUUUUCUCACUCUGGAUGAGUCACCAGACCGAGAGAGAGCAGACGCCUAGUCCCUGUGCUGAAGAAGACGAAACCACACAUCUGAAGAAGUUUCCCACGGCCACCACUUGCUUUAAAUAGCUGCAGAGAAGUGGAGGAGGGAGAGAGAGGGAGGGCUGGGGGAGGCAGGGCUCUCCCCACCAGGCCCUGGCUGGGGUCUGCACCCCGCCCCACGCAGGACUCUGACCCGAGGGCCCCUGGAGGCUGGCUGCCGAUGGGAACCCGGGCCUCACAGGCACCAGGGGGACCCAGCAGAGGUCCUGAGCCUAUGGUGGACCAGAGGCCAGAGGCCAGACAGACAGACAGCUGAAGAGACAUCCAGUCGGGCAGCUGGGUGUAGGGGCACAAGCCCAGGAAGGGGGAAGUUGACCUCACUCUGCACCCCGGCACAGCCUCCAGGCCCCCAGCCAAGCUUCCUCGCAGGUCACCUGACUCCCCUCAAUGCUCUGGCUCCCCCCCUGCCCGCCUGGGUUCGUGACUGAGCCCUGGGCGGCGUUUCCGGAGGCAGGCGGGACCCGGGGCUGCUGACGCACUUGCUGCCCCCCGAGGAGGGCCAGGUGAGAAGAGCGAGCCCCCAUCCCCCUUUCCCGUAAAUGAGCUCACCCACCCAGGCCUCACAGGGAUUCUAAGAAGUAGAAGCCCAAGCACCUGCUCUUAGCCCACCAACUCGGCCUCCCCACAGUGGGGUGAGGCCCGGAGUGGGGGUUGGGGAAGGGGUGGGGGGUCCUCACUUCUCUCAAGUUCAGACCUCCCGCCCAGGCUGGGGUUCAGGGACUGGCCAAGG
rnacentral:lncRNA from 12 species